rnacentral:lncRNA from 1 species
UAAAGUUAGAAAUGUUCUUUUACAUGAGUCUGUGAAUUUUUUUGCUGUAAAAAAAAAGAGAUGUUCUUAUAAGUAUAUACUUAAUUUAAGCUCUGGUUACGGCCACAUAUCAGUGCAAGUGUGUGUUACACCUCAUGCAUGAAAUCAGUUAGAAGAACAAGAAACAUCUAGGAGAUACGAUGACAUAAAUGAAAAGACCUAAAACGUUAGAUAUAAUAGCACAAGAGGUUUAUUUGAUAUAUUUGGAUUCCUGUUUAUCUAUUUGUAUUGUUUUAUUUUGUUAUAUAUACGUGGAAUAUACACUCCGUAUACAUACUAUUAAGUCCCCUUCAUGUAGAUAUACGUAGCAUCAUGAUGGAACAGCCACACUUGGUUCUGAACCGAUAUAGUUCAAUGUUUAUGGAAUUUAUUCUCAAACAAUCUAACACAACAAUUACCAAAAUGCUGUUAGAUACAAUUUAAGAUGAUUUAUUCGUUUUACAUUAUUUAUUUGUUUGUUUGCAAAAGAACUUUCAUGUUGUACACGAAUUUUGCUAAAUAUAUUAUAAACCGUUAAAAUAUUAUAAAUUAUAAGCCCUUUUUCAAAAAAGAAAUAUUCUAAAUUAUAUUAUAUAUAUAUAUAUAUCGGACGAGCUUAUAUAAAUACAUAAUUCAUAUCUUCAUUCGCAGUAAAACAAUUAUUAGCAAAAAUACAAACUUUUUUUACUAAAAAUAUUUGAAAACUUCGAACACAGUUUUUAGGCAAAAUAUUUGAAACAUACAAUCGAAAUACAUUUGAAUUGAAAGCAAAACACAAACAAUAUGAUAAAUUUUGAGUUUCUAUGUAAUCAAUAAUAAAAGAAAAACUUUUCAAAAAAUAAAAUAAAAGAAAAAACAGUAAAAACAAGAGCUUACCCAACAGAAGAAUCACGAAAGUGGAAAGCAACCGAAAGCUCGUAUCUUGUUGUGUGCAUGUUGGGUCCUUUUGUCUCUCUUUUUCUCUGUCUACGAAUGUGCAGAAGAUGCUUCAUAUACGUAGCGUCGUUCAUCAGAAUAAAAACAAUUAACAUUAAUUAAACAAAAGGCCUCGAUGUUGAUCCCUUUCUGAGGAUUUUAUAAUAUUAGCGUGGUAACCAAAAACAAAUUAUAGAAUAUAUAAGUAAUAUAGAAAGUUGCAUGAUCAAGAGAGCUUUUAGGGCGUAGAAGAGAUAAAGAGCGCGUCGCCACACAUGAAGAGAAGGGAAAGGCGUAAGGCGAGACAUGGAUGCGUUUUAAUUUGUCUCUCUACCUAUAAACCAAA